UCUGAAUGAAAGGACAAAUCAAUUGCCUUCCUUGUCUGUUUGACUGUCAGGCUAUGAAGGAACUCCCAGAAAAAUAAGAAUAUGAAUUAAGAGUAACUGGGACGUGAAUUUCUCCUCACACUCACUGCUCUGAGAAAUUUCAUUUCAUGUUUCCAAGUGCUAAUUUCAGACUGUUAAAGUACACAGAAUUUGGCAUGAGCUGCAAGGUCACAGAUGGGAAUUAUUCCUCUACUUUAGAUGUAACAGCAAUACUGGAAAGUAGACCUGGAUUAUUUCACGCAAAAGUAUCUGCCUUUUUACAUCUACGCCAACAUGAAGCCUGCACCAUCUCGUAUCAAACUUGAGUUGCAUUGAUACACAGGAAUUCUGUUCACCAGCUAUGUGAAAGGUACAGUCAACUCAAGACAGUCAUUAAUCAGACCUCCAGAACUAUAAGAACUGUGUUACUUUGGUAUAUAAUUUUGCUUUUGGUAUUUGAGUACUUGGAUUAUAUUUCAGGUCACAACUCCUUCGCUCUAAUUGCAUAGAAAAGAUUCCUGUGUCUUUCUCUUUAAAUGAAAAUUCUCAGGAUCCCAUGAUUACUUAUCUUACUAAACUAGAAUUUAGGAGGAACAUCAGCUAACACAGGGCACAGUAAUGUUGCUUUCAGUCAAAUUGCGUUUAUGCAAAUAAAGGUCAGAUUUAGUACAAUGGAUUUACCCAGUUCUCAGUCUGGAGAAUGACUCACACAUAGGACCUUUUCUAAUGAGUUAACAUAGCUUCAAAAUGUCAUUUACAAAGAAGACAAAACAAAUCACACACACAAAAAUGCAAAACCAAAACAGCCCUGGACAGAGACUAUAACUGAUGUAAUUGUAACUCCUGAUGCAUCAGUGAAUUUCCUUUUGCUGUUUGAAAUCCUUUGCUAACUCUCUGCAUGUAUAACUGUUCACAUUUUAGACUGUUCUCAAUGUCUCUUUUUCUAAGCCUUUGAAGUAAAGGCAGGAAAUAGGACUUGCAGAUGUCACCAUUGUGGUUCCUGGUCUAAAGACAAGCAACACAGAAACCUAUACAGCAGAUACAGUUUUUUUUAAAUGCACAAGUUGAAUUUGUCUUUGGAUUUAUACAAAUUUAGACAAAUAUUUUUUACAAGUAAAUCAGGCUCCAAAACCAGGUCAAAGUAAGUAUUAGGUCUCCUUGGUGAAUUACCCUUAUUUCAAUUAAAUUACCAUUGCUACUACUGCUUUAUGCAGGCUUUUUAAAGCACUACUGUAACUAAAGUUUUUUUUAAAGUUGCUCUCACACUUACUCUCCCUUAUGCUCCUUUAGACAUUCUCUCAACCUUUUAUUUUGAUAUUUUCACUCUAUUGAACGUGUCAAACCACAUAAGUAGUGAUUUUAUCUGGUAUACUGAUUCAGUCUAAUAUGAUAUUAACGAAAAAUCACACACAAAAUCUACACCCUUUUAAAAUUGAUCUCAAUGGUCUCUGCAUUAUCACAAAUUUGAGAAUCAUUCCUCCUAAAGCGGCAAGACUGGUGGACCAGAUCAACGAUUUUCAGAUACAGAGAGCACUGACAAAGCACAGUUGUGAGUAGCCAUCUGAAAUGGACUUAGAUUCAUCUCUCUUGAGACUCAAUGUCAGCAUCAGCGAUGAAGGUUUCAUCUACCUUCAUUAAGCUGACAAUGAUAAAAGGAAUCCACAAUGAUCACAUUUGCUCAUCUUCUUAGUGGUCAGCCAACUUAAAAAGGUAUUGCCUUCAGGCACUCAGUACCAAAUGUCCUUAUCUUUAAGAAUCAGACUUCAGCCAACAAGUAGAGCUGAAAUUUACAACAUGCAUCUAUAAGCUGCUAUGAAUAACAUAUACUGUGCUGCUAAGCUAUAUGCUAACAGCAGAAAUGCUGUUUUACAAUCACAUGAGCAACAUUUAUAGGCUGUUACAUCAAAUAUUCCAGAGUUGUACUGAAAUCUAAAGGAGUACAAACUAAAUAAUAGUGAAAUAGCAGAGAUGAGGUGAUAAGCAGCUUAAGUAGAAAUGGAAUUAAACAUUACUUCAGAAGGUAAUAUUUGCAAAUGUUUAUUAAGAGCCUAGCACAGUGGAGAUGAGAUGGCCCAUAACAAUCUUUUAUGUUUCCUUCUGCAAGCACCUAAGAAGGACCACUGCUUCUCUACUUCUAUCAACAAUUAAAUCUCCAGUCCAUUUUCACAUGAAAUCAUCUGCAUGAAUAACACAGAUGCCAAAAGGUACUGGCUACACCAGCCAGGAAGUUCACACUGUGUAAUUCAGCAUAUACCCAUAUAGGAAUAUAGUAUGACAAUGAACAACUUAAAUUACUGUUUUGAGCCAGCAAGAACCUUCUAUACCCAGCUGCAACGUCUGAUACAAGAAAUAUGCCACCAGCUGCAAUAGCAGAUGUUAUGGAAACUGAUUUCUCAAACAGCAUAGCAUUGUCAUAUGGCUUCUACUAAGCUGUGCUGGAUGAAUCUUGAAUUUACAAGGCCAGCUACGCAGCCUGCCUCUGGCCUACAGUACAGUCCAUGGAAAGAAAUGCUGUGUUUCCCAGCAAGCAACGUGCAUUUAUCCAACCUGAAAGUGGUGGUAGUUUACACCUGUAUAAAUUUGCUUUCUUCAUUCAUACUUUUCAUUUCCUUCCUACCUUGAUGUUUAAGAAAAAUCAAGCAGAAGACCAUUUUUAUGGCAGCGUUUUCUUAAGAACACAGUUCAUAAUUUAAUUUUUUUAUUCCUUAGUGUCACUAGUUUACAUCCUGACUGUAAAGUCUCUCUUAUUAUUGCCAUUGUAUGUUGGAAACAAUCAUAGAACCGCUCAGGUUGGAAAAGACCUUAAAAGAUCAUCGAGUCCAACCAUGGCCUGACCAUACUACCCUAACUCUAACAGCCCUCCACUAAAUCACAUCCCUGAGCACCACAUCCAAAUGGUUUUUAAACACACCCAGGGAUGGUGACUCAAUCACCUCCCUGGGGAAACUAUUCCAAUGCUUAACAACCCUUUCUGUAAAGAAGUUUUUCCUGAUAUCCAACCUAAACUUCCCCUAGAGCAACUUGAGGCCAUUUCCGCUUGUCCUGUCACCAGUGAGAAGAGACAAAACCCGCUCUUGCUUUAAGCACCUUUCUGGUACUGGAAGAGAGCAAUAAGGUCUCCCCUCAGCCUCCUUUUCCUCAGUUCCUUCAGUCUCUCAUCAUAUGGCACAUUCUCCAACCCCUUCACAAGCCUUGUUGCCCUUCUUUGGACCUGCUCCAGCACCUCAAUGUCCUUUCUGUACCAAGGUGCCCAAAACUGAAUGCAGUACUUGAGGUGGGGUCUCAUCAGAGCCGAGUGCAGGGGCAGGAUGACUUCCCUAGUCCUGCUCACCUCACCACUCCUGAUCCAAGCCAGGAUGCCAUUGGCCUUCUUGACCUGGGCACACUGCUGGCUCAUAUUCAGCCGACUGUCCAUCAGUACACCAAGGUCCCUUUCCAUCAUGCAGCUUUCCAGCCACUCUUCUCCAAGCCUGUAGAGUUGCCUGGGGUUGUGCCCAAAAUGCAGGACCCGACACUUGGCCCUAUUGAAACUCACGCAGUUAACCUCAGCCCAUCGAUCCAGUCUAUCCAGGUCUCUCUGUAGCGCCUUUCUCCCCUCAGGCAGAUCAACAUCCCUCCCAACUUGGCAAGAUAAAGGUUUCAAGACAACUGCCCUUUCCAACACAGCACAGAAUCUGAACAAAUGUUUGAAACUAAAAGCUAGUUCUCUGACUCAACUUUUCCAUCAGUAGUCUGCAGUAUUCCACAUUUCCCUCAAUCAGAACAACUGAGGAGGUACAGUCCCUUUUCAAUAUCCUCCUGCUCUGGAAGAAAGAGACUUUGUCUUCUAACUUCAUCAUUUAUUCUUUCAGCUACUGAGGGAUCAAGCAAUCAUGGAAGUACUGCCUUCCAAAUUGUUAUUUGCUCAUCAUUUUGUGAUUAGCAGCAACUUCCCUUUGUCCAAUCCCGCAACAUAGAAAUGGAUGAUUGUCAAUAAUUCAUUCUGCCAGGUGUGAAAGUCUCUGCAGUAAGCUCCUCAAGGCUUUGUUUAAAAGAAAAAAAGACAAAGCAAUUCCCAAGAAAUGCUCUUUCUGAAAAAGAAUUUACAAUCUGACAGAUACAAAGAAAAAUUGUAAUUUAACACAAUUCAUGUAUUAAAACAAAAAAUUACUCUUCAAAUUACAAAAUACUGCUAUGAAGAAAAAGAAUUUUCCUACUAUCAAUCUGUCAUUCCUAAAUAUUAAUUAGUCAGAAGUUAAUAUGCAGAAUAUAUAUUUGUUGCAUUUCAGUCCACAGCAACAUGUUGGAUUUUAAACCCAACAGCAAAACAGAAUUCUUUUAACGUUUGAGCACACAAAACAGGCUUGAACAAAUGCAGCGGUUGCAGAUGUCUUCUGGGGACACUGAAUACAUCCAAGCCCCAGAACAUAACCUAAUCAUAGAGACAUCAGUAGUGUUUUGAGAUCCACAUGAUAAAUCUCAUUGUUACACUGCAGUUGGAAGCAUAGAGAAAGAUAAAAUAACACCAAAGCACAAACCUGUUUCUUUGACUCCAAUAGUAAUUAUAUAGAGAGUGCUAAUAUUUGAAUAUGAUAAUUACAGGUAUUUCAAAAGUGAACUACAGCUCAUGGAACUUAUGUGUAGCUCACUCAGCAUGUAAUACUCAGAAGGCUCAGGCAGCAAUUUGAAAAUGACAAUGUUUUCUGAUUGAAGAGACAACAAUUUAUGUAAAUGGAAAUCAUAAUUAAAAAGCAAUUAAUACUUUAUCUCAAGGUGUAAUUUCAAUUCAUUGUGAAGGCUUAUUUAACACCCAUAAGCUCUUAUAUGCAUCUCAUCCAACUUUUUUUACUAGAUAAAGUACUCCUUCCAAUGAAGGGCUGUGGUUAAUCUUAUAUGACAGAUCUCAAACUAUGGUUUGAAAUUAUUCUGCCUCUUAUUUGGAGAAUAAUUUCACCCGUUAAUCUGAAUUCUGAGUUUUGCAAAACAGAAGGCCCACCCACUGCACAAGAAAAAGACUCUACAAGAAAGGGAAAAAAAUCACAACUAUUCCCUUUGUUCACAGAUUUGGGCUGAUUCCCAGAGUAUAACAGAUAAUCAUCAAUCACAGAAUCAUUACAGCAGGCUACCAUAAUGGAGAUGCAGGAAGCAUCCAGCCACGUCCCCUUCUCGCUGGCUGUGCUGCUUGUGCCAUCCCUGUGUACACUGAGGGUGGGAGCAAUCCUUGGUGUGUGCAGCAGGAGGUAAAUUGUUCUGAUCAUUCAGUUACAGCAACAGCUAGAAAUAAAGCUGUGCAAAGCAGCUUUGACUCAGAGGAGAAUUAAGACAUGAGUAUAAAUCUAUUCCUAUGAUUUAUAUUUACACAAGUUUAUGUUUUUCUUUCAACUCUGGAAAGGAGAGUUGCUCAUAUGUACAAGAAAGUCUCUGCAGUUUGUUCUAAAAAAAAAAAUAAUAAUAAUCUGUGCUUUAUUAUAUCAAGACUACUUCUAUGCCUGCAAACAGAGAAAGAGUACACGCAAAUCAUAGAGGCUUUAAGAUACAAAUAAAGAACAUCCUGUGAAACAGAGCUCUUUCAGGCUAUGCAUUCAAAGUUUUAAUCUCUCUCAACAUGCUAAUUUCUAUGUGAAAGCAGAUGUGCAGAAGUACAGGUACUUAUUAGAAACCCAACUUCUACCUAAGGCAUAGUGGUGUCCUCAAUUGUAUAAGCACAACUGUGUUCUUGGCUGUAAAGCACAGAUGGAAGCAUUGAUAUAUGGUGGUUACAGAUUAAGGUUCACAGCAGCCCUGAUGUCCAAAAUACCUGAAAAAUUAUUUUACAGCAUUUUAAGUUUAGAGUUAGAAGCAAAGUAUGCAUACAUCUGCCUAAACACUCCAAGUAUCUGCUAAAACAGGGUCUAGUCUCUUCUAUAGGAAUGUUUCAUUAGCCUUUUCACCUGACUAAAUUUUUAAUCCUAAUACUUUUGGAGGUUUAAGGGAUUAAUAGAACAAUUUGUUAUUGUUAUUGCUGUUAAUGUCAUUUUCAUCAAUAGGCAAUGCUGCUAUAAUAUACAGCACGCAAAAAGUAAAAGAAAUUUAUAUAGCAGAAAUUAGGCUGUAUGUAUCCAAUAAUGGGAAUGAACUUAAAACUAAACCCAAGAAUAAAUUAAUUAGAAGGAAAAUAGUAUUUUUUUAAAUGUCAAAACAGACCAACAUUGAGUAUUUCCAGUGUAUUUCUGUAAACAAAGUCAAAGUAACAGUUUGAAUUAAGCCAUCAUUUUCCAGUGAAGGAAAAACAGUAACUGCUCAGCACUUAAUGGAAACACAAGCUCCUUCCAAUGAGAAGGAAAUUAUUACCAUAAAACCAUAAUAAAAGAUGACUCAAGCUCACUGUAAUUAAAACCACAGCUAACUACUUGAAUAUUUUGAUCCCAGAUUCGUGCUAUUUAGAGUUGUGCUUACAUCCAGCUAACUAUUAGUGCAUAAAAACAGCCACGAUAUCAAAUGAGGGGUUGAAAUAAAAAUAUUGUACGAUUAGAAGCUGUGAAAUACAAUGUGUGCUGCGUACAGGCUUCUCCGUGGUAAGGCACGGUAAUCUUAAGAAUACAGUUUGCUUUCAAGUAAAAAUCUUAUCACAAAAUGGUGCUUCCUUAUAUGACUCAUAAACUUCAGAAUCUAAAAUGUAACUAUUUUUUAGGUUAAGGUAUGUUUAUAGCCUGCUCUGCUUCCCCCUCCUCCUGGCAACAACAAGAAAAAAAAACACAAAAAACAUGCAUCUCUCCAUUCAUCUUUUCUCUAUCACACAUGCAUCUCACUUGGUAUCCAUCAUCCCCAUGAACCUAAGCAAUUUUUUAAAGUGAUGGAAAACACAGUACAUAUAAAGUAAAUUAAUUUCAAAAUGUUUCAAAGUUGGAAAUAAAAUUUAAAUGAUUAAGUCUCAGGUGGCUUUAAAAAGGAAGAGAUGAUUAAAGAUAGCAGUCAUUUUGUAGUUCAUUUUACAACCAUACAUUUCAAUUUUUUUUUUUUUUUUUUUUUUUAAUUUCUCUCCAAUACAUCAUGCUGUCCUUUGGAAAAAGGGAGAAUGAAUUCUGAAGCCCCUUCAACUUAUUUCUUCCCAUUUUCUCUCCUCUCUAGCAGUGUUAAAAUCUAGCAAACAAUCUACGUGUGUUUGCACAGUGCUCAAAGCAGUCUGUGUCAGAUCAUUUGUUCUUGGUUGAGAGCUGUCUCACAGAGACAGAACUGCUGAAGUUCCAACAGGAUCGCUCCCUCUGGAGAACAGCAGAAGCUGCUGCCGCAUGUUUUAGGACCUUUUGACUGUGACUUCUCUGGAGAAAAGAAAGGUGGGAUGACAUUGGGUUUCACCUCUGCAGCACUCGCCAUUGAGCAAACACUUCAUUGCACCUUUCCAGCUUCCCACUUACUGGUACAACUUGUUGCAUCACUGUAUUUAGACAAACUGAAGUCAUCAGGGUCUGAAGUUGCAAAAGUGAGGAGUAGAUCUGUUGCACUCAACCUUCUAGAAGAUAUCAAAGACUCAAUGAAUUUUGCCAGAAGCAGCUUUUGGGAUGAGUCUUUAAAAAUCACCUGUCUGUAGAAAACUAAUUACAGUGCUUAGGGCACCAUGCUAAUAAUUAGUUUCAAAGAACAGCUUGCCUUAAACUCUUAAAAUGCUUUCCCACACUGAACUAGAAAAGCAGGUGCAGAGUAAAAAUUUACACUAAAUACUUUUGAAUGAUCAUUAGAUUUUAUGGAGCCCAAUUUACCUGCCAAGUCUGUGCUGCACAAACUCUACUACCUGGCUUGGCAGACAGAGCAGGACAGAGUUUUCUCAAAGAUCCAUUUGGCCAGGAUCUCAGUUUGCCUCUUUCAUUUAUAGGAAUGAAUUUUUUUCAGGUGGAUGACUUAAAACAUGACGCUAAUAAACAAAUAAUGAUAGAAAACUGGAGCCAGGUAUCAUUUGUGCAUUUCUAUUUGAAAGGAAGAGGCAUUGCAUCACCUUUUUUUUUUUUUUUCCUAUUUUAUUCUAAUAUGAAAACAUUUUACAAGCACUACAGGUUUAGCUGGAGUCCUUAGCCAUGUUCCAGCAUCAUAAACUCAAACUUCCAAACUUAUUAGAAGUAUGCCAGCUUUUUUCUUCUCUCUCCCCACCCCUCCUCCCAUAGUUAUUUUACUGUUUGCAAAGCAUUAAAAUUUCCUCUACGUGCUCAUUAUUAAAAUAAAGCUAUGAAAUUAAUUUUAAUGGCUUAAUUAUCUUCUUACAAAGAAAAGUUAAGUAGAAAAAAUAUAUUUAUAAAAAAUUUUAAAAGCUGUAUAUGUUUAACAGAAAUGCUCUGCAUUUCUAUCAGUGGGAAAUUCAGACAUUCAGCCUAUGUGAAAUUCUGGCUCCAUGAGCACUGAAAGGGGUUACAGUCAUUAUUUAUGGCAUAUACUGUUGUCAACAAGGAAACAAAAUCUUAAUUAUUUACUGUAGUCUACCCAAGUAUGCAGCAAGGUUAGAGCACCUAUCAAAUUCUGUUACAUUCCCCAGAUUAUUGAAGGAAGAAUUAAUGCUUCAAAUCAAGCUUUGAAGUAAAAAAAGGAGGUGAAUGGGAAGUAGGAAAGCACCUGGAUUUCUGCUUUGUUACAUGUUCGCUGUGGAAAUAAUCUGCUCGAUUUUAAUGAGAGUUGACAUCAGCAAGAACAGUCCCUGCCAUCACUUCACAACUAGCUGUUUUUCACUGAUGUCUUGUGUUUGGUUUUUUUUUUUUUUUUUUUU